ACAGUCCCAGCCAGAAAGACUCGCGCAGAGGCCACCUGGAGCCCAUCCGCGCCUCCUGCUCCGCGCAGACCUUCCGGGGAAGAGUGGAGACGGAUUGGGGCCGCUGGCUGGCCAGUCCCUGCAGCUGGGGCUUUGCAAUCUGCCCACGUCGUUCUGGGCACAGGGACAAGAAUGAGAAAGGGACAGACAGUGCCUCCUGGAGCCCACAUUCCGGUGGGCGGAGGAAGGAGAACACGCUGGGUCAAGAUGGGUUCCUGCUGCAUUUCCACUGCCAGCUGGACCUCAUCCUAGACCUGGACCACAGCCUGCACCCGAGUCUGACCCUCUGCAACCACAGCAGGCCCUGGACAUAUGAUUUCUCCAG